UACGUAGGAGACGAGCGUUGUCCGGAAUUACUGGGCGUAAAGCGCGUGUAGGCGGAUGAGCAAGUCUGCUGUGAAAGCUCCUGGCUUAACCGGGAGUGGUCGGUGGAAACUGCUCGUCUGGAGGACGGUAGAGGUAGGUAGAAUUCCCGGUGUAGUGGUGAAAUGCGUAGAGAUCGGGAGGAAUACCUGUGGCGAAGGCGGCCUACUGGGCCGGACCUGACGCUGAGACGCGAAGGCGUAGGGAGCGAACGGG
rnacentral:rRNA from 1 species